AUGUUCCAUGCCCAGAACUGUGGAAGGGUACUUGACAAGGAAAAGUUUGAGAAGGAGUUGGCCAAGGUUAAGAGUGAACAUGACAAGCUUUGCAUUGAGUACACCAAGCUUGUUGAUGAUGUAUCCAAGAUGUUUGAUUGGCAGGAUGGUAGGGUGGACAAGAGGGUGUACCAGAAACAAGUGGAGGAGGAAGAACUUGAGAAGAAGGAGUUAUAG
rnacentral:rRNA from 1 species